UGAGGUGCCCGACGCAUAACAUUUUGAACGUGCCACGGAGGAUCAAGGCAAAAAACGAGAGCAAAAAAUGGUGCACGCUGAAGGCGGAAAUGAAGCAUGAUCUGGCUUGCAUCUGGUCAUGAAGAAAUUGCUGACACGUUAGUUGCAGUCCACCUCCACCAACAGGGUGGAAAACAAAGAUCGCCAUUCCGAUUAGCUGCUAUCUCCCAGUUCAAGCACUUUUGUGUCUGGACACUGGUUCCUGUGGAUGGGGUGUUACAAGCUUUACUGUCUGAUAUAGAAGUGAUGAGCAUCCAUAAGGACACAUGCCAGAAAGGGAGUCUCUUUGGGAUGACAAACCCUCAUCACCUCAUGAGGAUACAAUGGUUGACGAAUGGUUCUCAAGCACA